rnacentral:rRNA from 1 species
GACGAACGCUGGCGGCGUGCCUAAUACAUGCAAGUCGACCUUAGUGGCGAACGGGUGAGUAACACGUGGGUAACCUGCCCAUCAGAAGGGGAUAACACUUGGAAACAGGUGCUAAUACCGUAUACUGAUGGAUGGAUCAGCGGUGCAUUAGCUAGUUGGUGAGGUAACGGCCCACCAAGGCCACGAUGCAUAGCCGACCGGGGGGGGUAAACGGCCACAUUGGGACUGAGACACGGCCCAAACUCCUACGGGAGACGUCAGGAGGGAAUCUUCGGCAAUGGACGAAAGUCGAACCGGGCAACGCCGCGUGAGUGAAGAAGGUUUUCGGAUCGUAAAACUCUGUUGUUAGAGAAGCGGUAUCUAACCAGAAAGCCACGGCUAACUACGUGCCAGCAGCCGCGGUAAUAC